GACGAACGCUGGCGGCAUGCUUAACACAUGCAAGUCGAGCGGUAAGGCCCCUUCGGGGGUACACGAGCGGCGAACGGGUGAGUAACACGUGAGCAAUCUGCCCUUCACACGGGGAUAACCACCGGAAACGGUGGCUAAUACCCGAUACGACCACUUCAGGCACCUGAUGGUGGUGGAAAGUUCCGGCGGUGAAGGAUGAGCUCGCGGCCUAUCAGCUUGUUGGUGGGGUAAUGGCCUACCAAGGCAACGACGGGUAGCCGGCCUGAGAGGGUGAACGGCCACACUGGGACGGAGACACGGCCCAGACUCCUACGGGAGGGAGCAGUGGGGAAUAUUGGACAAUGGGCGAAAGCCUGAUCCAGCAACGCCGCGUGAGGGAUGACGGCCUUCGGGUUGUAAACCUCUUUCAGCAGGGACGAAGCGCAAGUGACGGUACCUGCAGAAGAAGCACCGGCCAACUACGUGCCAGCAGCCGCCGUAAAAC
rnacentral:rRNA from 1 species